GAUGAACGCUGGCGGCGUGCCUAAUACAUGCAAGUCGUACGGAAAGGCCCUUCGGGGUACUCGAGUGGCGGACGGCUGAGUAACGCGUGGGAACGUGCCCCAAAGUGAGGGAUAACGCACCGAAAGGUGUGCUAAUACCGCAUAUGGUCUUCGGAUUAAAGCUUCGGCGCUUUGGGAGCGGCCCGCGUACGAUUAGAUAGUUGGUGAGGUAAUGGCUCACCAAGUCGACGAUCGUUAGCUGGUCUGAGAGGAUGAUCAGCCAGACUGGGACUGAGACACGGCCCAGACUCCUACGGGAGGCAGCAGUAAGGAAUCUUCCACAAUGGGGGCAACCCUGAUGGAGCAACGCCGCGUGCAGGAUGAAGGUUUUCGGAUCGUAAACUGCUUUUAUAAGUGAGGAAUGUGACGGUAACUUAUGAAUAAGGAUCGGCUAACUACGUGCCAGCAGCCGCCGUAA
rnacentral:rRNA from 1 species